ACGAACGCUGGCGGCGUGCCUAAUACAUGCAAGUAGAACGCUGAAGGAGGAGCUUGCUUCUCUGGAUGAGUUGCGAACGGGUGAGUAACGCGUAGGUAACCUGCCUGGUAGCGGGGGAUAACUAUUGGAAACGAUAGCUAAUACCGCAUAAGAGUAGAUGUUGCAUGACAUUUGCUUAAAAGGUGCAAUUGCAUCACUACCAGAUGGACCUGCGUUGUAUUAGCUAGUUGGUGGGGUAACGGCUCACCAAGGCGACGAUACAUAGCCGACCUGAGAGGGUGAUCGGCCACACUGGGACUGAGACACGGCCCAGACUCCUACGGGAGGCAGCAGUAGGGAAUCUUCGGCAAUGGACGGAAGUCUGACCGAGCAACGCCGCGUGAGUGAAGAAGGUUUUCGGAUCGUAAAGCUCUGUUGUAAGAGAAGAACGAGUGUGAGAGUGGAAAGUUCACACUGUGACGGUAGCUUACCAGAAAGGGACGGCUAACUACGUG
rnacentral:rRNA from 1 species